rnacentral:rRNA from 1 species
GAUGAACGCUGGCGGCGUGCCUAAUACAUGCAAGUCGAACGCAGUGGGGACGGGUGAGUAACACGUGGGUAACCUCCCAUCAGAGGGGAUAACACUUGGAAACAGGUGCUAAACCGAUACUGAUGGAUGGACCCGCGGGGCAUUAGCUAGUUGGGGAGGUAACGGCCCAACAAGGCCACGAUCCAUAGCGGACCUGAGAGGGGGAUCGGCCACACUGGAACUGAGACACGGCCCAGACUCCUACGUGAGGCAGCAGUGGGGAAUCUUGGGAAAUGGACGAAAGUCUGACCGAGCAACGCCGCGUGAGUGAAGAAGGUUUUCGGGUCGUAAAGCUCUGUUGUUAGGGAAGCGGUAUCUGCCCAGAAAGCCACGGCUAACUACGUGCCAGCAGCCGCGGUAAUUC